rnacentral:rRNA from 1 species
UACGUAGGGUGCGAGCGUUUUCCGGAAUUAUUGGGCGUAAAGGGCUUGUAGGCGGUUUGUCGCGUCGGGAGUGAAAUCCACUGGCUUAACUGGUGGCUUGCUUUCGAUACGGGCAGACUGGAGGUAUGCAGGGGAGAACGGAAUUCCUGGUGUAGCGGUGAAAUGCGCAGAUAUCAGGAGGAACACCGGUGGCGAAGGCGGUUCUCUGGGCAUGUCCUGACGCUGAGGAGCGAAAGCGUGGGGAGCGAACAGG